GAUGAACGCUGGCGGCGUGCCUAAUACAUGCAAGUCGAACGCUGGAAAUCUAGUUUGCUAGUUCGAAGGAGUGGCACGCGGGUGUGACAUACAUAUACCACCUACUCAAGAAGGCUGGGAUAAUCUCUGGCAAGGGGGACUAAUACCGGAUAGGUACUCGGGAAGCGUCGUCUGAUGAUUAAAGGGUAGAAACACUGGUGGAUGGGCUUGUGGCGCAUUGGUUAGUUGGUGAGGUAACGGCAAACCAGGACGGGGAUGCCUAGCCGGCCGGAGAGGGUGAACCGCCAGAGUGGGACUGGGACCCUGCCCAGACACCUACGGGAGGGAGCAGUAGGGGAUGUUGGGCUAUGGGAGAAAGCCUGACCGAGCAACGCCGGGUGAGUGAUGACGGUGUUCGGGAUGUAAAGCUCUGGUGUAAGAGAAGAACGGUAGAUAGAGAAUAUCUAGUGUAAGGGACCUUAGUAGAGAGGCACGGCUUACUUACGG
rnacentral:rRNA from 1 species